GUAACGGCGAGUGAAGCGGCAACAGCUCAAAUUUGAAAUCUGGCCCCCAGGGCCCGAGUUGUAAUUUGCAGAGGAUGCUUUUGGCGCGGUGCCUUCCGAGUUCCCUGGAACGGGACGCCAUAGAGGGUGAGAGCCCCGUCUGGUCGGACACCAAGCCAGUGUAAAGCUCCUUCGACGAGUCGAGUAGUUUGGGAAUGCUGCUCUAAAUGGGAGGUAUAUGUCUUCUAAAGCUAAAUACCGGCCAGAGACCGAUAGCGCACAAGUAGAGUGAUCGAAAGAUGAAAAGCACUUUGAAAAGAGGGUUAAACAGUACGUGAAAUUGUUGAAAGGGAAGCGUUUGUGACCAGACUUGGGCCCGGUGAAUCAUCCAGCGUUCUCGCUGGUGCACUUUGCCGGGCUCAGGCCAGCAUCAGUUCGCCGCGGGGGAUAAAAGCUUCGGGAACGUGGCUCCCUCGGGAGUGUUAUAGCCCGUUGCACAAUACCCUGCGGCGGACUGAGGUUCGCGCUCCGCAAGGAUGCUGGCGUAAUGGUCAUCAGCGACCCGUCUUGAAACACGGACCAAGGAGUCGUCUUCGUAUGCGAGUGUUCGGGUGUCAAACCCCUACGCGUAAUGAAAGUGAACGCAGGUGAGAGCUUCGGCGCAUCAUCGACCGAUCCUGAUGUUCUCGGAUGGAUUUGAGUAAGAGCAUACGGGGCCGGACCCGAAAGAAGGUGAACUAUGCCUGUAUAGGGUGAAGCCAGAGGAAACUCUGGUGGAGGCUCGCAGCGGUUCUGACGUGCAAAUCGAUCGUCAAAUAUGGGCAUGGGG
rnacentral:rRNA from 1 species